rnacentral:rRNA from 1 species
CAAAGAUUAAGCCAUGCAUGUCUCAGUACUGGCUGCAACAAAAGCGAAACCGCGAAUGGCUCAUUAAAUCGGUCAUGGUCUACUGGAUCCCGAAAAAAGGUACUUGGAUACCUUUGGUAAUUCUAGAGCUAAUACAUGCAACUGAGCUCCGAACCACCCGCUCGGAUUUUUCCUUGCGACGUGGGGCAAGAGCGCUUUUAUUAGCCCCUGAAAUAAACCGACCGGACUUCGGUCCGAAAAAUGCAAAAAUGAACUCGGGUGAGACCGAAUAACUUAGCCGAGCGCUACGGUCAUCGAACCGGCGCCGGAUCCUACCGAGCGUCUGCCUUAUCAGCUCUCGAUUGUAGGCUACAUGCCUACAAUGGCUGUAACGGGUAACGGGGAAUCAGGGUUCGAUUCCGGAGAGGGAGCCUGAGAAACGGCUACCACAUCCAAGGAAGGCAGCAGGCA